rnacentral:tRNA from 1 species
GGCGAUGGGAGCUCGGUUAGGUCGAGCAGUAGAUUGUGAAUCUAAAGGUCACGGGUUCGAGUCCCGUUCUUCGCC